rnacentral:rRNA from 1 species
UACGUAGGGAGCAAGCGUUGUCUGGAAUCAUUGGGCGUAAAGCGCGCGUAGGUGGCUUCGUAAGUCCGUUGUGAAAGUCAAAGGCUCAACCUUUGAAAGCCGAUGGAUACUGCGGAGCUAGAGUACGGAAGAGGCGAGUGGAAUUCCUGGUGUAGCGGUGGAAUGCGCAGAUAUCAGGAGGAACACCAAUAGCGAAGGCAGCUCGCUGGGACGUUACUGACACUGAGGCGCGAAAGCGUGGGGAGCGAACAGG